ensembl:lncRNA
CUCAUUCACUCAUCCAUACACUUCUGUGAGUUAUUAUUGUACACAAAGCACUGUGCUGCAAGCUUUUCAACCAUCAUAUUGAGCCGGAUUGUUUGGAGCAAUCUCCAAAUACUACAAAAGUAGAAAAAAAGCAAGCUUCAGAACACUGUAUAUAGAAUGCUACUGUUUGUAUUAAAAAUAGAUAUAUAAAUAUACAUAUUUUAAAACUUGUAAAUGCAUAGAAUCGCUUUGAAAGAAUACACAGGAUAUAGACAGCAGCAGUUAACUGGACAAGGGCUUUGGAGCUUGGCCCCUGUUGGAAGGUUACUUUUUAUUGUAUGCUCUGUACUGUUGGAUGUUUUACCAUGUGUAUGUAUUAAUUUUUCAAAACAAAAAAUAAAGGAAACUGCCAGAUCUAAAUAUACAGUAGUGAAUGGGACGGAGGUUCCUUAGUCUUGGGGAAGGCAAAGUGUGGGCCACAACUGUUAAGUUUUUUUUGUUUUUGUUUUAAACCAGACAGUUUACAUACGUUAAGGGGAAAAUUCUUUCUACAACAGUUAGCUCAUAGUAAUUCAACAUAUCAUUUUACAGAGAUAAAGCAGUUAGAGAACAAAUAGUAGGCAUUUGUCAAGGCUCAGAGCGUAUUAAAUGGUAGUGAGGGUCUUAUCUGUUUAACUCAAUCUUCGGAGCUCUCCUUGCAGGCAGUUAAGCACCCAUUAUAGCCAGCAUUCUGUGCUGAUAACAAAUGACAUCAUGCCCAUUCAAAACACCGUGAAAGAGAUGAGAUCAGAAGAUGCUGGACUGGGCAACCUUUCCUGGACAGUCCUCAAAAAACAACAGUCUUCAAAUGACAGAGGAAACCCCAAUGGGAAUGACCAGUCCCAGGAUGCUACUGGUUCAGCAGGGGUGACAUGCAGGUCCCCUCUAGGAGUAAGGGGGCAUAAAUGGUCUUCACUUGGAAGCAUCCCAAAUGUUAGGGAAGUAGAAAAGCAGGCCUCUGGGCAAUUGAUGGGCUGGGUGGCAGCCAAAGCAGCCAUGGUCACUAAGACAGCAGAGGGCUUGAUGGGCUUGACACAGCACCAUCGUCACAGGUGGCCUGACACAUCUGUCCUUUAACAUCUCAGCCUCAGUUUUCUUGGUAAAAUGGGGGAUAAUUGGGAUCUUUGUGAGGAUUAGUGUCACUAGAAAAUGUCUAGAAAGAUGCUGGGCAUGUGAGCAGAGCUUAAAAUACAACAUCACAAUUACUAAAUCACAGAGAAGUAAUGCUCUCCCCACCAAUGCUUAGCUGAUAAGCAGCAUCCCAGGGUGAAGAGACACAGGUGGGUGCCACCUCCAAACCCAAAGGUCAAGUACAGCCUCUCCACCUUUGUAUGUUUUAUAAAUCAGAAACAGCUGGCAUGUGCAUGACCUCAUAAGAGCCUGUGAGGGAGCUGGAUAGAGAUACCAGUUCCACUUGGAAGAGGAGAGACCGGUGAGGCUGGGGGUUUGCUAAGAGCUGGCUAUGAGCAGGCACCAGGCCCUGCCCCCAGGUGCCCAGCAAGCAGCUUGGCAUUCCUCCACAGCACAGGGACAUAAGUCUGGACUGAGGACAGGUGGCUGAGCCUGUGGCCACCCCAUCUCCUCUGCCUGUGCUCAACUACCUGUUUCUGAGCAGGACAGACUUCAGGCAUCCACCCCACACCCCUCUCUGCACCUCCUCCGGGACCUGAUCUAAUGAAUGGAGCUGGGGUCUGGAGCUGGCUCUGGCUCUUCAGGCAGCUGGGGGAGCAAGAGGGGUGGCCUUGCCAGGAAGAGCAAUUAAAAAUGCUAUGGGUGCCAGAGUCUCUGAAACUAAGGCAGCACCAACCUUUCCUACUGCCAUUAGCAUUUCACUAACAAUCUGGCAUUUGAUACAGGGAGAAAAAAACUGGUUUUUGUUUCAAUUGUGGAAAGGUCAGGCAUAUUUUAUCUGACUUAAUUUAUAACUGCAACUCACGCCUCCCAUGAAUGAUUACCCCUAAGAACCCAGUGGGCACCAUGCACCAGGACUGCACUAGACCUGCAGGGCCAACCCCAGGCCCGGGGCAGCCCCAACUCCACCACCAGUGAAGAUAGCCCCACCGUCCCCCAAGUUUACUCCCAGCUCUGCCACCCUGAAUUCCCUGUGGCAGAGGCAACAACAAGGUCUCUAAUGCUGCAGGAAAAGGACAGAAUUCCUGCUCUCCACCCCAUCACCCAUAGAGGGUUUCCUUCAGUGUAAAGCUCCUCUUUAGGAAAGAGGGAGACACCCAAGAAGACUUCAACAGGCCUUACAGUCAAUGCCAUCAGCCUCAGGGAGACCUCUGAGCUGACUCUGGACUGGUGCUGAGAUCCUGCUUCUACAGAGGGUCUCCAGGGAGCUGAGCACAAGCUCCUGGUCUUCUCCCCUGGAAGGGGCCUCGGUGGGAGCAGGGAAGGGCCAACUGACUCAGACAGGAAUACAAGAGCCUACCUGCAUGGUAAGAAGAGUUUUUAUUGAAAUAUAGUCUGAGGAACAUGAGUGCAGCCAAGAGCAAGAGGGGCUGGCCUGCCAUGGCAGCAGCCUCUCUAAUGGCAUAGGAGCAAGAACACACACAUUCCCAUGUCUGUGUGUUCAAGCUUCUCCCACCCACACAGACAUGAGGAGCCAGAGUGACAAUUAGUUCUCAGGACCAUUUUUGGGGAAAAGCACCAGAAAAGACAGGAAGGAAAGGCAAGGUGAUCGAGGGCCCUUGCCAAGCCAGGCUGAGUAGAGCUCUCUCCCAGAGGGACUAUGUCGCAUGUGGCCUCCUCCCCUCCUUCUCAGCCUCUGAGCGGCACCCCCGGCUGAAGGCAGCCAUCAGGGCCUCCCAGAUAAGCACAGGUCAAGGACUUGGGUUCAAGCUGAGCUGACAGCAUUGGGGUGGGACCACAUAAGCAGCCUGGAAUUGGAAGGACACAGACAAGAGUUGGGUACCAAGAAGCAGCACAAAGCCAUAAAUAACAGAAGCGAAUUCAGAGCUGGGAGGGUCCUGGGUACCCCAUCUUUCCUGCAGCUGGGGACACAGUGCACCACAGCUCAGGGCACAGUGGCCACACUCCCAAGGGCACAGCCUUUGACUUCCAUGGUCUGAGAGGCAGUGGGAGACACUGGGGCCCCACCCUGGCCACACACACUGCCAAGCCUCUGGUCACACCUGAGGGGACAAUGUAAGGCUGUCCUGGUCCUGAGAGGUCUGUGGCUGUCUCUGUGCAUCCUGGGCCUGGUCCUCUGCCAGGCCAAGGCCCAGCGUCCCCUCCGCCUCUGGGUCAGCUGACAAAGGCCUACCAGCACAUUCCUCCAGUCCAUUCUCUCUCGUUUCCAUGGCCACUUCCUCCCCCAGAGCCCUCCUCUGGCUCAGACACCUCCACCUUCACCUCCACUAUCUCUUCCUCCUCUUCCUCCUCCUCCUCCUGGUCUCGCACUUUGUGGACAAUGAAGAGGUGGCGGCUGAGGGAGCUGGUGGAGGUGUAGCACAAGCCGCAGAGGAGACACUGGGCUGUGGAGCUGUCCACCUGGUGCUGAGGUAUGUGGCUCUGGAACUCCAGCCCCGAGCCCGUGGCAAAGCUACAUUUUGCGCACUGAAAGAGGGAUUUGUGCCUUUUUAGGGGAGGGACAGUAGCGCCGUUGCUGGUGCCCGGAGAAUCCCCUGCUCCGCUGAGGGGUCUUUUCAGAUGGUUCACCUGAAAGGAGAGAUGGCAUAAGCAGAGCCCCCAGACAUGAUGACAGCCACCAAAAGCCCAAAGGUACCAGCCAGGCCAGCUCGCCCAGCCCUAAACACAGCUUUGGUUUGUUCGGUUCCAGUUCUAUGGUUUUGGUUUGGUUUGAUUUUUGUUUUGAGACAGGGUCUCACUCUGUAGCCCAGACUAGAUGGAACUUGUC